rnacentral:lncRNA from 1 species
GCUUCUCGAACCAACCUAGUUCAUUUCUCAGCACACCUGCAAAUUCAUGGUCAGGAAUGGGUCUCAGAAUCCCCUGUAACAAAAUUUAUGUUCUCGACACUCCUGGUGAAGCAAACUUAGUUGAAUCUUGGCAUAAAACCCACGGUGAGCAGAAUCUUACAGUUCAUAAGUGUAAUAGCUUUGAUUUUACUUGUUAUAUCUUAGCACUAUCUUACUAUAGUUGUGCAUUAUACAUAGGUAGAAAGUAAUUGAUUGAUACCUGAGUACAAAGCGCUUCUGAGAUUGGUCAUGGCUCUCUCUCCAACAACUCCAAAGAGGUAAUGUUGCAAGGUAUGGCUGAAUAAGGAAAUCAAUCCAAUCAUGGAAAAGAUGAUUGAGUACUUCCCGACCUUACGCUUUGCAUGACCUUGGUAGUAUGCUACUCCCACAGUAAUAAUGUAGAACCCAAAAAAGGGCUUUGAUAUUCCUGAGAAUGCUGCUGCAAAUGAACCCACUGCAGUCUGCACCAUUUCCGUCUUUCCGAACCCAUACCAGAUUCUGAAGAAAUUAUGUCUUUUCUUUGCUACUUUCUUGAUUUCUUGAACUGGAGGUGGGCUUGAAGGUUUGUAGGCUACUUCACUUUGUUCUUGGUUGUCUGCAGGCAAUGCUUCCUGCUGUAUGGGAUCUGCAGUGUCUUUUGAUCCUUCAGUCCUGACAGUUGAAUCAGCAUCAUCUGGGUUGAGAUUCUGCAUGGUGCAUAAACUAUUGUAGAAGGUGUUGGUCUCCAGCAAGCUGUGAUGAGUUCCGG